GAUGGUUUGGAUUGUGAAUAGAUGCUGUUUUGUACAGGAUCUGUGAGCCCUGGAUGUGGAUUACUAAGCCAUUUACAAUUCAUUACUGCAUUGGGAGAAGAACUGAGAAACUCCACAGAAACUUCUGGAAAGAGAUUUCUACCAGAGCCAGAGCAGUUUCCCAUGUUGAGAUUCUUCUACUUAAAACAUAAAAGCAAACAAGCAAGCAAAAGAAGAAAAAUUACCAUGGGAGCUCUUGAGAGUAAUCAAAGGAGAGAGUUUUACGAAUCGAUCUCAUUCCAUCAUCCUCUGCAUUGUCUCUUCCUAGGCUGCAAAUAGCAA